UUUACGGAGAGUUUGAUCCUGGCUCAGGACGAACGCUGGCGGCGUGCCUAAUACAUGCAAGUCGCACGAGGACCAGGUGCUUGCACCUGGAGCCGAGUGGCGAACGGGUGAGUAACACGUGACCAACCUGCCGUCGGGUGGGGGACAACCUGGGGAAACCCGGGCUAAUACCGCAUGACAUCCGCGUCCCGCAUGGGAUGCGGACCAAAGGGGGCCUCUGCUUGCAAGCUCCCGCCGGGCGAGGGGGUCGCGGCGUAUCAGCUUGUUGGUGAGGUAACGGCUCACCAAGGCGAUGACGCGUAGUGGGUCUGAGAGGACGACCCGCCACAUUGGGACUGAGAUACGGCCCAGACUCCUACGGGAGGCAGCAGUAGGGAAUAUUGCGCAAUGGCCGCAAGGCUGACGCAGCGACGCCGCGUGUGGGAGGGAGCCCUUCGGGGUGUAAACCACUGUCAGGGGGGAAGAACUUCGUGGACGCGAACAGCGUUCACGGUUGACGGUACCCCCAGAGGAAGCGCCGGCUAACUCCGUGCCAGCAGCCGCGGUAAGACGGAGGGCGCAAGCGUUGUUCGGAAUCACUGGGCGUAAAGCGCUCGCAGGCGGUCCCUUAAGUCCGCCGUGAAACUCCGGGGCUCAACCCCGGACUGGCGACGGAUACUGGGGGACUGGAGACUGGUAGAGGCUAGCGGAAUUCUUGGUGUAGCGGUGGAAUGCGUAGAUAUCAGGAAGAACACCGGUGGCGAAGGCGGCUAGCUGGGCCAGUUCUGACGCUCAUGAGCGAAAGCGUGGGGAGCAAACAGGAUUAGAUACCCUGGUAGUCCACGCCGUA
rnacentral:rRNA from 1 species